UUCCAUGUGCGCAUCGUCGGCUCAUCGAAAUCGAAAAGCUAUUGCAAAUCAAAUGGAAAAGACAAGGGCUGGAGUACCAGGGCAACCCCCUAUUAAAAGGCCAGAAGUGUGGAUUAUCGGGGACAGCUACGUCCGCCGUGGAGAGGAGAGAGCCAGGGAAACCUGUGGCCCCCA